ACUGUAUUUCAGAAUAUAUUACAUAUCAGUUAGUUUUAGCAAUGUAAUAAAUUUUACUAUUUUACAGGAAGUUUUCUACUUCUGACUUCUACAGGAAUGGGAUUCCAAACCUUUUCCGGUCAAAGCACGUGUCGUCAUUAAAACAGCUGGUGCCUUCUCUAAGCUGAGUAUUAUUCCAAAUUGGAUUUGAUCUGGAGGAAACCAUAUACGUGGGUAAAGAAGAGCAAUUGGGUGAUAACAGAAUCAUAUUCCAAGCUGACUUGACACAACAGCUCAGUGAGAGCAGUUUGAUGGAUAUUCAAGAAGAAGACAAAAAGGUCCAAAUCCUCAAGAAUCCAGACUUCACUAACUUAAAUAUGUCCUUAGAAAUUCGGAAAGUCUGGUAAAUGAGGUUUGACACCGAAAUGAACUCUUCUUUUUUGACAGUGGAGAAAAGUAAGCAAAUGUUCUUGGUGUUUUAAUUAUUACAUAAAACACCCAUUACCCAUUCAUUACCUCAGAACUGCUUUUAGCUUCUGCAUGAUGACUGCUUUGUUUACCAA